UAAUGGCAACUUUUGCAUUACAAGACCCAAUGGGCAAAUAUUAAACUAGAUGUGCAAAAAAUAUAGAACUUUGAAACCCAAAAUACUAGCCCAUUACAAUAUUCUCUAAACCCAAAAUACAAACCCUUUGCAAAACAAAACCAAAUAACAUAUUCCUUACAUCACCGACGAUCUUUCAAGGUGCUGGAGCUAGUUCAACAAACUGGGAAAUAAGAGAAGAGCUUACACAGCUACACAAGCCCACAAGCUUCCAAAUCACAAUCUAUAUCUUUCAACGCAGCUAGCUGUUGGGCUUUAAGAAGCCGCCACAAAUAGCCUUCAAUAGGGAUCUCCAGGGAGGGGAUGAUGGGUAGAGUUCUCAGCAUCUCAAUCUCUUAUAGCUGGGAGGGUUGACAGCCGCCAUGGAAGACAGGCUUAAAGACCUCGAGGUACCCACCAUCGCCUAUGCCAUAGACCCUCCAAGGAGAUAGCAACCACCAAUGACAGCUGGAUCUGCUCAAUACAAUCCCAUAUCUGCCUUCACAAUUUGCUCUUAAUUCGUAGAGACAACACACAACAAAAUCAUAUACACCAAACCCAGUUGACCGAGGGCUAACCCUCAGCUAGGCCGUGAAGAACAAAAUCUUUACUUGCCCUUCUGGGCAGAGAAAGCCAUGUUGAGAGAAACUUGACGACUUCAAAAGAUGAAAAAAAAAAGGGAAACAAAUUGAGAGGAAAUUUCUCCCUCUAAACCUAGAGAGAGAGAAAAAAAGUAUUAAACAAUUUCCACCAACCUACCUCCCUUUGCUCCAUCUUUCCUUAACUCUCAUUUAACUCAUUUUGGAACUUAAUUUCUUCCUCCUCUCUGUCACGAGAA
rnacentral:misc_RNA from 1 species